CAGAUAGUCCCUCGCUCUCUCUCCGCACCGCACGCCUGGCACCCACCCCCUCCACAGUGGGCGGCGACCCAGCGGCUCGGAUCGGAUUCGCACAGCCAGCACUGCAGUGAGAGAGAGUGAGUGAGCCAGGUAGGGGAAGAGAGCUACGAGUGCGAGCGCACCCCCCCCAGAUGUUGCGCGCGGUGCGGCCGGCCCCCCCUGCACCCCCCACGCUACGCCACUGCCCAUGCAGAAUAGAGUGGUG